rnacentral:SRP_RNA from 1 species
CAGCGUGCGGGGUGUUAUACAGCUCCUUCACUUGGAGCACGAGUUCCGGUGGUGCGGUGUUGACGGCUGGGUCCUAUGCGACGAACGCGGACGAACCGUGUCAGGACCGGAAGGUAGCAGCACUAAGACUGGCAGAUCGGGCGCUGUAGAUCGCCUGGCUUGAGCCGCAUCGCUGGAACUCGUGUGCUG